UUGUAGGUUUGUAGAAAUAUGUCCUAAUUAUUCUGAACUGAGUUUGCUUAUGAAAAUUUAAGGGUAUAAUUUUCAUAUGCCCUAUAACUGUGUUAUGUCCUUCACAUUGAUUCUUUCACUAGUCCUUCACAUUGAUUCUUUCACAUGUCCAAAACUUGUUGGAGUGUAUGAUGAGGAGGACGUUGACAUUAACGAUGAUUGUAAGUCUUUUACAUUGAUUAUUUUCCUUAUUGCAAUUUUGUCUCCAUCUUGUAGUUGUGAUUGAUCACAUUUUCGUGUUUCAGGAUGGACUAUCAUUUUAUAAUGACUCUGAAGCCUGUUCUCCUAACUGGAAAAUUGCAGGUUUGUAAAUUUUAUUAAAAUUUAUUGGUUUGUUUUGUUUGUUUUGUAGUUCAGUACUUGUAUCUAGAAAUAUGCUACAGGUUUAAACUUUGUUCUUGGUUUUUUGCAGGUUUGUAUCAUGGAAAUAUGCUAUCUCUGAAGCCUGUUCUGAUGAAGCUGUCAAGUCCAAGAGUUCUGAUAUAGGAGAUUAUGAUUAUGCACGAUAUUUUCUGAUAUAUUGUUGUUAUGGUAGCAUAGAUUAUGAUUGGGGAAUUAUUGUUAUCUUUUCUGAUAUAUUGUUGUUCCUUUAAUUAGAAACCUUCAAUGAUGCUAUUGUUAUUUUUACUAGUCAUCUGACUAAAUGAUUUGCAUUUUUAUUGUUACCAUGAUAUUACAGAUGGUGAAUCAUCUAUUAGUGCAACAAACAGUCUUGUCACAUGUGAUGUUGUUGUUUGUGGAGUAGUUAUUAUAUACUGAUUUAAUAAACACAGAAAUGCUGUCAAUGAUAUGGCAACGGUCAAGCUUCCUUUGGCUCAAAUAAGAAUAACAUAGGAGACUCUGCUUUAUGAACAGACCCUAUUUUUUUGGCUAAAUUUCUACUGCCUUCAUUCAUACUACAUACAUUUAUUUCCUUUAUAAAUAGUUGAAAAUAUAUGAUUUCAGUUUCACCCAAAACUUUCUAACAAAAUCUAUAAUAUAUGACCAUCUAGAUAUGGUUACAAUCAUUUAAGUUGGAGGUAAUUUGGCAAAAGACCUAGGAUUUAGUAACCUCAAAAAUAGAAUAGUUCCGUAAAUAGAAUAGUGAAUAAGUUACAAAAACAUCAUGAGAUAACACAAUUCAUGAGAUAACACAAUUCAUGAGUUUAAUAUUUGCCACAUUGAUUUCAAUGAGUGCAAGUCAAGCAUCAUCGUUGCUGCACUGUUGCACGUGUGCUUCAUCAGCGGAGUUGAGUUCACCAUACCCAAUUGGAUUGCACCAGUCCCAAAACUUACAUUUUCCUUUGUUAAGAAAUUGGGUAUCAUGAGUUUGAAUGCUCAUGUUGCUCCCUUUGUUGAACCUUAUCUGCCAAAACCACCAUAAGAUUGCAAUGUUUUAGAGUGUUUUAGAGACAUUCCAUAGUUGGUAAUCCACAGAUCAUUACACAUAAUAUAUAUAGCGAGAAUAAUCAAAAACAUAUUUUCUUAGCAAGAAUAAUCAAGUAAUUUUGAAUUUCUUCAAAUAUCUACCAUUGUACAAAGCAGGUUAACCUGAAAACAUAGUGCAAAUGUAGAUAAAGCUACUUUGAGAAUAUAAUAUCAAAGACUGCUCAUAUCCAGCCUACCCACAAAGCUUUGCAUCAACACUCAAAUUGGCUGGACAACAUUGCAUAAUGGUUUUUCACAGAAUUAAAGUAGGAUGUUCGUAUAUUUCCUUGAAUUACUACUACGUUACAAUCAUAUACCAAUCCACUCCAGUUGACAUAAUUAUAUGAAAU
rnacentral:lncRNA from 1 species